rnacentral:miRNA from 1 species
UGUGCAAUGUAUAGUAUGGACG